AUAGGCCAAAUACUGUGUUGGUAAGCUUGAAAGCCUGCCCUGAAUCCUCAUCUAUUGAUGGAGAUGGUGUCAUCCUACCAUGAUUGUAUCCAGAAGUUUCAUCCCCAGGAUAAAUGAUGGACACCUCUCAGAUGACCAGCUUCUUUUGCUCGACUCUAGGGAAGGUUGCUCCUUGCAUCCUGGCAACUGCCCUCUGUCUACAUGAUUAGACUCGUUGGUUGCAGUGCUUUCUGGAGUAAUGAAGGGAUCUAGGGCACAGGGCUUAACCCACUGGGCACAAUCUCUAAGCCAACUUUGCCUGAAUGGGUCCCCUGGUUUUUUUCUUCUGCUCUUGUUGAACUGUGUCUCUAUUCCUCACGCUCCUGGGAAUUUCUUGCUCUGGUCAUGAGAAAAAAAAAAAGGAAACUCUCUCAAGGACUAACAAUCAGAGCUGCCUGGUUGACAAGGGACGUUAUAGUUGCAAGAAGACCCUGAAGCAAGGAUUCUACAUCAAAGAUUCAGGGCAAUCUGAGUUUGCAUUUAAGAUCCUUCUGCCU